rnacentral:snRNA from 1 species
AAGUUUGUGUUUGUAUAAUACUC